rnacentral:rRNA from 1 species
CCUACGGGUGGCAGCAGUGAGGAAUAUUGGUCAAUGGGCGAGAGCCUGAACCAGCCAAGUCGCGUGAAGGAUGAAGGAGCUAUGGUUUGUAAACUUCUUUUAUAGGGGAAAAAAGUGAGGAACGUGUUCCUUUUUGUAUGUACCAUAUGAAUAAGCAUAGGAUAACUCCGUGCCAGCAGCCGCGGUAAUACGGAGGAUGCGAGCGUUAUGCGGAUUUAUUGGGUUUAAAGGGUGCGUAGGUGGGUAAUUAAGUCAGCGGUGAAAGUUUGUGGCUCAACCCUAAAAUUGCCGUUGAAACUGGUUGACUUGAGUAUAUUUGAGGUCGGCGGACUGCGUGGUGUCGCGGU